UUUACCCGCNGGAAUUUAAGCAUAUAAGUAGGCGGUGGAAAAUGAACCAAAUGGGAUUCCUUAAGUAAUUGCGAAUGAACAAGGAAAUGCUCAGCUUGAAAAAUGGGGCCUUUGGCUUUGAAUUGUAAUUUUGAAAUGUAUUGCCAAUGGAGGCGCAGGUGCAAGCCUAUUGAAAGAAAGCGUCAACGAGGGUGAAAUUCCUUUUUGUCAUUUGCAGUCCUCCGUGCACGGUAUAUAUUUGACGAGUCACACUCCUCGGCAUUGGAAUGCAAAGUGGGUGGUAAAUUCCAUGUAAAGGUAAAUAUAUUAUUGAGACUGAUAGCAAACAAGUACCAUGAGGGAAAUAUGAAAAGGACUUUGAAAAGGGAAUUAAAAGAGUCUGCAUUUGCUGAACAGAAAGCAAACAGAAUUGAUGUGCUUGGUUGGAUUGUUGUGCCCACUCUGUCAUUUAUGUCGGAUGUGGGUGCGAUGGUUCUUACCUUGAAUGUCAGCUUCUAUUUCUGCAAAUCAUUACCCUUGCACAUGAAUGGUAAUUUGCCUGCGGGUAUUGGAAUGUAUGUGUUUGCAAUGAUUUGUGAUUUGAUGCAUGUGGUUGGUGGACUUUGUAUGUGCUGUUUUGCCAACGGGGAAGGGACUCUUCCUUGAGCACUGCAAGCCCUUGCACAUUGAUGCUGGCAAAAUGUUUCUGCUUGACCCGUCUUGAAACACGGACCAAGGAGUCUAACAGAUGUGCAAGUGCGUGGGUGGCAAACCUACUAACACAAUGAAAGUAUUGGCUGGGAUAUUUGCACCAGCAGCCGACUGAUUAGCAGACAGAGGUUUGAGUUUGAGCAUAUCUAUUAGGACCCGAAAGAUGGUGAACUAUGCCUGAACAGAAUGAAUUCAGAGGAAACUCUGAUGGAGGUUCGUAUCGAUACUGACGUCNAAUCCCUUUCGUAAA
rnacentral:rRNA from 1 species